GACACCCAGGUUUGAUCCCACUCUCCUGCUUCUGGAUUUGGCAGGCACUAGUGGAGCAGUGGAAUUAACUCGUUGGAGCUGCUGUGCAAACAGAUAGGACUUUCUGUCC